rnacentral:rRNA from 1 species
CUACGUGCCAGCAGCCGCGGUAAUACGGAGGGUGCGAGCGUUAAUCGGAAUAACUGGGCGUAAAGGGCACGCAGGCGGUGACUUAAGUGAGGUGUGAAAGCCCCGGGCUUAACCUGGGAAUUGCAUUUCAUACUGGGUCGCUAGAGUACUUUAGGGAGGGGUAGAAUUCCACGUGUAGCGGUGAAAUGCGUAGAGAUGUGGAGGAAUACCGAUGGCGAAGGCAGCCCCCUGGGAUAAUACUGACGUUCAUGCUCGAAAGCGUGGGUAGCAAACAGGAUUAGAUACCCUGGUAGUCCACGCCCUAAACGAUGUCGAUUAGCUGUUGGGCAGCUUGACUGCUUAGUAGCGUAGCUAACGCGUGAAAUCGACCGCCUGGGGAGUACGGUCGCAAGAUUAAAACUCAAAGGAAUUGACGGGGACCCGCACAAGCGGUGGAUGAUGUGGAUUAAUUCGAUGCAACGCGAAGAACCUUACCUGGUCUUGACAU